GGGCGUGUGGUCUAGUGGUAUGAUUCUCGCUUUGGGCGACUUCCUGCCUAAACAGGAAGACAAACCAUGCGAGAGGCCCUGGGUUCAAUUCCCAGCUCGCCCC
rnacentral:tRNA from 1 species